rnacentral:rRNA from 1 species
CAAUAGCGUAUAUUUAAGUUGUUGCAGUUAAAAAGCUCGUAGUUGGAUUUCGAAUGGGAUUUGCCGGUCCGUCGUUACGAUGUGCACUGGCCAGUCCUAUCUUGUUGUCGGGGACUAGCUCCUUGGAUUCACUUCCUGGGACUAGGAGCUGACGAGGUUACUUUGAGUAAAUUAGAGUGUUCAAAGCAAGCCUACGCUCUGAAUACAUUAGCAUGGAAUAACACGAUAGGACUCUGGCUUAUCUUGUUGGUCUGUGAGACCAGAGUAAUGAUUAAGAGGGACAGUCGGGGACAUUCGUAUUUCAUUGUCAGAGGUGAAAUUCUUGGAUUUAUGAAAGACGAACUUCUGCGAAAGCAUUUGUCAAGGAUGUUUUCAUUAA